rnacentral:rRNA from 1 species
GAUGAACGCUGGCGGCGUGCUUAACACAUGCAAGUCGAACGAUGAAGGGGGAGCUUGCUCCUCUGGAUUAGUGGCGAACGGGUGAGUAACACGUGAGCAAUCUGCCCCUGACUCUGGGAUAAGCGCUGGAAACGGCGUCUAAUACCGGAUACGGGCCGAGCAGGCAUCUGCAUCGGUUGGAAAGAACUUCGGUCAGGGAUGAGCUCGCGGCCUAUCAGCUUGUUGGUGAGGUAAUGGCUCACCAAGGCGACGACGGGUAGCCGGCCUGAGAGGGUGACCGGCCACACUGGGACUGAGACACGGCCCAGACUCCUACGGGAGGCAGCAGUGGGGAAUAUUGCACAAUGGGCGGAAGCCUGAUGCAGCAACGCCGCGUGAGGGACGAAGGCCUUCGGGUUGUAAACCUCUUUUAGCAGGGAAGAAGCGAGAGUGACGGUACCUGCAGAAAAAGCACCGGCUAACUACGUGCCAGCCGCCGCGGUAA